rnacentral:rRNA from 1 species
UACGAAGGGUGCUAGCGUUGUUCGGAUUUACUGGGCGUAAAGCGCACGUAGGCGGCUCGUUAAGUCGGGGGUGAAAUCCUGGAGCUCAACUCCAGAACUGCCUUCGAUACUGGCGAGCUUGAGUCCGGAAGAGGUGAGUGGAACUCCUAGUGUAGAGGUGGAAUUCGUAGAUAUUAGGAAGAACACCAGUGGCGAAGGCGGCUCGCUGGUCCGGUACUGACGCUGAGGUGCGAAAGCGUGGGGAGCAAACAGG